rnacentral:lncRNA from 1 species
AAGGUGCUUCUUCGGCUGACAUAAGAAAUGAUGAAUUUGGGUUUUUGUUGUUUUGAUCCAGAAGAGAACCGCAGAGGGGCUGGGAUAAGCUCUGUGCUGGACGGGACUCGCCAGAAGUCGCUCUCAGGAAUCCCUAUAUUGACCUAUUCCACAUUUUCAAGUGCUCAGAGCCAACUUCAGAAAAAGAAGAAAGAAAGGCUCAGAGAACAUCUUCUUAUCCACCUGUCUGGUUUUGUUCAAGGAUCUCUGUACCUCAUUCUAGGAGAUGAGAGGCCUUUUGGACAAGGCUUUCUUUCAAAAGCAACAAGUACAAAAAAAUUGGUGGAAAUGUAAUUCUAACAGCCUUUUAGAGUUCCCAGAAGAAACAAGAUCCAGUGCAAUAGACGAUUGAGUCAUUCAGGCGAAAUGGGGUUAAGGGGACUGACAUCGAUAAAUUGGCUUUUUCUGGCCUUCCCUAGCUACAUUAAUAAAAAUCUCAUGGAACAUCUUAACCCUAUGCUUGUCAAGCUCUGAAGCAAUCCAUUGCUAUUUCUCUCCUUGGAUUUUUCUCUGAGCGGAACAAAAAGCUAUCUGAUCCCAAGAUAAAAUCCCACAAGUACCAUCACCUGCUGCCAAGAAACUUUCUCCUUGAAAAGUAGGAAUAAAAAUUAAGUUUGUAAAGGAAAAACAAAUGCCAGAAACAGGAAGGCUGGCCACUGAAAUGUACUCAAAAUGAUCACCUUCAAUUUUUGGAAAAACUAGCAAGGCCAUUGGCAACCCGUUUCUAGUAUCAUGGUCUGCCAGCUUUUUCCCUCUUUUGAGAAGAGUGCCUUAGUAAUCUAUCUCCGUGACCCAGAGUGGUCCAUACCAACAUAAUGAAUUGACUGUCACAAUCCUAGAAAUGAGAAAGUCUAGGAGAUAGAAGCUGAUUCUCGUUAUGCAUAGUAGUUAAAGUCACCGUGAACGUUAAAUUUGAGAAUACUGAGUCACGACUUCUGGGGGAAAUGCACAUUAUGUUCCUGUGAGCCAUGAUCUCAUUUUUAUCAACAGAUCAAUACACAAACAUGUUGGAUAUGUGUUUCUGUUUAAAGAUGCCUUAUUAUAUAUAGAAUUGAUUAUAUAUUACGUUACAGUGAUCACAUGUACAUUGGAUAGAUAAUUGCUAUAUAUGAAUGCAAUUGCUCAUUAAUAUUGGAUUCAUGGCCAACAGCAUGACUAAUUCAUGACUGAACAAAGCUUGCCACACGUCUCUGCUCCACAGGGCCCAUCACAGCCUUUCUGUGCUUAGCAACAUCAGGCUGCACUCAGCACUGCACUUUGGGGCCAUUUCAAACAAUGAAAUUACCAACAAAAAGUACAAAAAUGUGAAAAACAUGGCACUUAACACCCCACCAGAAGGCACUUGUCUCCAGUGGGAGAGCUAAAGCACAUGAGCCGAGCACCGCCCUGCUCUCCCUCAGCGGGGAAGGUGUGUGUCGGUUGACUCAAAUGUUUUGCUGCCCUGUGCACAUCUGCGAAUGACGACUGAAGUGCCACAGGUAUUGAUUUGAGGCUACAAAGAAAUGUUUGCCAGCAGGUGAAUUUGCAAACACGGAACCUGUGUAUUCCGUACACAGGAUCGAGUGUAUUUGCCGCUCAAGCCAGAUCAGCGGAUCAGAUCUCCCCGUUGGGCAUCCGCCGCUUACCCUCCCUAACUCCUCUGAGUUGGCCCAGUUUGGCUUGGAUGACUCCAACAGAUGGAGCGCCUUCAGAAAGGCACCAAACGGGGCGCUGAGCAGAGGUGUGGACCAGGUUGUGCAAAUAACCCUCUCUCCCCGCAGCUACUUAUCAUCUUCUGGGGGAGAAACAAGCUCACAAAUAAUGGAGGUUUAAGACCUAAUUUAGUAAGUAACAUUCCAGGCUAAUGAGGCGACAGAGAUGGUAGAUUAAGAGGGUGUACAAGUACUUCCUACAGUUUUCCUUCAUGUUCUUUAUUCUUAAUUAAAUCCUUAUACGGCACAAAAAUAAUAUUUCUUUCAAAGGUGGGGGUACGCCUGGGUGGCUCAAGCAGUUAAACGUCUGCCUUCAGCUCAGGUCAUGAUCUCAAAGUCCUGGGAUCGAGUCCUACGUCGGGCUCCCUGCUGAACAGGGAGUCUGCUUCUCCCUUUCCCUCUGCCCUUGCCCUCCGCUUGCCACUCGUGUUCUCUCUCUCUCUUUCUCUCUCUCUCUCAAAUAAAUGAAUAAAAUCUUAAAAAAAAAUUAUUUCAAAGAGAAUACCGGAAAUAGGAUUGCCAG